UCCGCGGGUCCUGGCCCCCACCAGUGACAGGCUCGCCCCAGCAGACGUAGUAUCACGCUGCUACUCCAGUCUUGCCUGCCAGUGGCCCUCAUCAACACCCACCGCCCUACCACAGCACUUUCAGAAGAGGAAACCUAAUACAUGCAAUGGAGAGGGAGGAAGUAUCCGAAGAUUUGUUCACAAAAGACAAUGGACUAAACCAAUCGUGCAUUCAGGGUUCUGCCAUGGUGUUGCAUAGUUCAAAAUCUGACUCAGGCCAGUUCAUUACGGAUGAAUUAUGCAACGAAGAAUACAACAGCACGGACUUCGUGAGCCAAGAUUUACACACUAAGGAGCCAAAUAAGAUUUUAGGAAAGCAGUCUCCAAGUACACAAUCAUACACAGUACGGGACAACAGCAACUCAUCCCGCCAGUCACCAUCCCAGGCACCCAUGACCCGGCAGUCCAGCCGGGCCUCAGACCAAUCACCAUCCCAUGAGGUACUCAUGACCCGGCAGUCCAGCCGGGCCUCAGACCAAUCACCAUCCCAUGAGGUACUCAUGACCCGGCAGUCCAGCCGGGCCUCAGACCAAUCACCAUCCCAUGAGGUACUCAUGACCCGGCAGUCCAGCCGGGCCUCAGACCAAUCACCAUCCCAUGAGGUACUCAUGACCCGGCAGUCCAGCCGGGCCUCAGACCAAUCACCAUCCCAUGAGGUACCCAUGACCCGACAGUCCAGCAGGUCCAGUUCAACAACUCAAGAGGUUCUUACAAGGGAUGCGACGCUCAGAAUGACCACAAGUUCGCCAGGAAAUAUUAGGUCUGACGUCUCACCUUCAGGAUCUCUUGUGACUAACACUUCUACACAAGUAUUAUGCAGGACUUCUUCCUCAGUAACAGUGGAUUUGCAAAGUUUAUCAGAGGAGAGACCUAUAAGUCUCACUUACGAACCUUAUACGCCAAUGGACGUCGAAGCUGUAGAAGAUGAAAGGUCCAAAAAAUCAUCACCAGUCCCUAGUUUUGUCCGAACACGCCAAGAGGAAAAGUCUUUUGUGGGCUUCAAUGUUAAUGACCAAUGUUUAACAGGUGUGAAUUUAAAGCGUUCAUCCCCAGCUCAUGACAUUCCCCGCCUUGUAACCACCGCUUCCCAAACACAUGCUGAUGAAGAUUCCAGGAACUCGACUCCAGAUAACAUGUAUGAUGAGACUCCAAGUGAGAGUUCAAGAUGUUCAACACCAAUCCUUGUUUACGCUGAAGAACCUACUUGCAGUACAAACCAGUGCCCUUCGCAUGUGUGCAUGUCUACACAAACAUCAACAAGCAUGUCAGUGUGCGCGAGACGAGUGUGUAUGUCAACCCAAACGUCGAAGUACAGGCGAUCCCUGAGCUCACGUUCAACUCUUUUAUCACCUUCUGGAGAAAAAUGCAAAGGCGCUAAGCUAAAAAGCAAGUCAAGCAGUAGACCUACUCCAAGAGUGAGGAAGCAAAGACAGUCACCAGUAGGUACUGUGAAAAGAAUUGUGAAUAAUAAAAAAUCUCAACACGACUCACCAACACCAGUGGCCAUCAGAAAACGAAAAAUUAAGACCUCAAGCACAAUAUUAUCAAAACGUUCUGUCCAAAUACGCAAAACUAAAAGAUUAAAUAUAUCGUCCUCAGCACCUAAGUUAACCAUAAAGCUCCGUGUCAGGAAGUACCCACAACACUCACCAUAUGCUGGAUCUGUACAGACACAACAUGUAAGAAAAUCUGCAAGGUUCGACGCAAUUCCUGUCUAUCCAAAAACACUCCUGAUGUCGGGUAAUCUACACAAAGAGCCUCUCUCUUCUGAAGCACCAAGGACCUCGACUGAGGACGAACUCACAGACGUGUUAUCAAAGACUACUAGCUUCGGGAAUCUAUCUACACUAUCUUCGUCUUCUCAGAGAAACUCACCGACGCCGUCACAUAAAAGCGCCUCGCACACUACUGGUGCUGGUGUUGACUCUCACAAUUUAACACCGACAGGUGAAACAGUGGAAUCCUCGAGCACAGAAGCCAAGGCUUCAUCGCCACUGAUAACGACGGCUUUCCCACGUGCUCAAAAACGAAAAUGUAUUGUUGCAUCUGCCACAAAGAAUAAAAAAUGUAGUGGUCGUGGUUUGAAAAGUAUUCCGCAGAGAGAUGUAGGCAAGGCACAGAUCAGGGCUGAAGAUGACCUUGCCAGCUGCUGCCCCCCAGAAAUGGUUGAGGUGCUUGCAGCCGGGCAGCGGGGAGACUUGGAGCGAGUGGAGGAGCUGGUGCAGCUCCCGGGCCCCACAGUAACAAACCCCCAGACUGGGUGUACGCUCCUGCACGCUGCAGCAGCCAGCAACCAGCCCGAGGUGGUGCUCCUCCUCCUCAAGUUCAUCAGCCCCAACAUUGUCAACAAGGAGGGCCGCACCCCGGCCCACCUGGCCGCCAUUAAGGGCCACACUCAGGUCUUGAAGAUUCUGUUGGCUGAUGAAGAAAUGAAUCCCAACAAGCGAGACAACUCCAACAGAACUUACAAGGACUUGCUCUCUGAGCCUCUGUUACUAGCAGUGCUGAAUGGGAAUGUGAGCAACAUAGAGUCUCUCCUCAAGAUGGGUGCUGACCCAGACUACCCUGCUGGUCAGCUGGUCCGUGGAGCGCUCUCUCGGGAACUAAAUGUCACUACCCCCAGGCAGCUGGCUCAAACUCUCAACCGGGAAUACCUUUUACGGUGGUUUCACAGUGAGGUGAAGGAUGGCGGAGAGGACAAUGAGGCGGGCGAGGAGGAGUCAGCCACUUGCAUCAACAACCUGGCUGCCACUCUCAGGCCGAGGCGAGUGAAGCCAGCAAGAGGCCAGGCUUCAGGACCCAACGUGUACAAGAUGGACACAGACCCCAGAGGAUACGUCUGUAUCCUCAGCUACAGUUCCUUCAAGGACCGCCCCGACCUGGACCUCGAGGGUUCACACUCUGACGUCAACAACCUGUCAAACGUCUUCGGGAAAAUGGGAUACACUGGACACUCACACUCCUCCUUGACGGCACACCAGACCAAGCAAGUGUUGACGAGUGUCAGGGACAUGGAAGUCCUCGACCAUGUUGGAUGUGCUGUUUUUGUCAUCUCUAGUCAUGGUGUUGGAAACGAAAAGUUUCUAACUAAUGACAUGAAACGUUUGUCAACCGAAUGGGUUUGUGACCUCUUUAAGGAUUCAGAAUGUCCACGAUUAAAAAAUAAACCCAAACUGUUUAUCUUCAACUUCUGCCGUGGCCAUUACCAAGAACAACUUCUUAGACAAGCCAGCGCUGUGAAAUGUACGAGAGUGAAGGAACCUCUUAAAGACAUGAUGUGUUUCUACUCAAACAGUGGAGGCUUCAUGUCGUACACCUUCACUAAGGAUGGAACCCCCUUUCCUAGGGCUCUGUGUCGCACUCUAGCCAAGCAUGCCCACAAUAAGGAGCUUAACGAGUUGUACAGAGAGUUCCUGAAGGAGUACUCUAAGGUAUGUCCCACCGCUGCUCCUCAACUCCGGAACCUUGGCUUUACCAAGAAGUUCUACUUUAAUCCAGUAACAACAGCUUAAUAUAUGCAAUGCAUUUGAGGCAAGUCCAAGAGUAUUUAAAAUCUCAAGGAGAAAUGCAUAAGAGCUUUACGUACCACUUACAAUACUUGUUAGCACAGACAAUCGAGUUAGCAAACAAGAUAACACAAGUACUUACGUUUACAGUAAUUUUAGUCACUACAGGAGAAUAGUGUACCUUCGUGGGCCCAGAUCUAGACAACCAGCCCCAGCCGACUGGGUGUCUAGUAACGAGUCUGAAUUAUAGUAAAAGUUCCAAUACACAUUAUGUUGCUAUUUUUAGAUUUUCGAAACGAAUAAAAAUCUUAAAAAUUUUGUAAUAAUUAGAUUUUUUAAAUAAAAUAGUAUAUUGAAUUACAUUGUUGCAGGAACCACAUGAAGCCUAUACUGUGUUAUUGUUUGUGAUACUCUCCCAGGUAUCUGAUAGAUAAUGUGAGUAGCAGCAAGCCUAACCUUUCACUUUGUCCUAAUUUAUUUCAAUAUUUACUGUAGUGUGCCUAAGCCAAUAGAAAAAUCUAAAUAUAUGUUCAGGACGAAAGUGUAUUUUCUGGUUGUCAGUAAGCUAUCAUGGUGGCCUUAAUAACCCGCCAGAGGUUGAUAGGCUAUAGUAACCCGCCAGAGGUUGAUAGGCUAUAGUAACCCGGCAGAGGUUGAUAGGCUAUAGUAACCUGGCAGAGGUUGCUAGGCUAUAGUAACCCGCCAGAGGUUUACAGUCCCUAAUUACCCACCAGAGGUCGAAAAGUUUUAAGCUCAACACCAAAUGACAAUACCGAAGAUACUUUUAAUGAUUUAUACAUUUUUUUUGUUAAUCAAAUAUUUAAAAUAAAAUUAUAAUUGUC
rnacentral:misc_RNA from 1 species